UACGAAGGGAGCUAGCGUUGUUCGGAAUCACUGGGCGUAAAGCGCACGUAGGCGGCUGUGUCAGUCAGGGGUGAAAUCCCGGAGCUCAACCUCGGAACUGCCUUUGAUACAGCACAUCUGGAGUCCGGAAGAGGUGGGUGGAAUUCCUAGUGUAGAGGUGAAAUUCGUAGAUAUUAGGAAGAACACCGGUGGCGAAGGCGGCCCACUGGUCCGGUACUGACGCUGAGGUGCGAAAGCGUGGGGAGCAAACAGG
rnacentral:rRNA from 1 species